UUACUAUAAGUCAAUUUAAAAUGAUAGAAUAUAAAUCUAAAUAAUUAAUUAUAAAAAAUUAAAAUUUUGGAAGGUGAAAAUAAAUUUUUUUGAAUUUAGAUGGCUAUAUACAAGAGGGUUAAAGUUUGGACAACUUUGAUGCGUUUCUUAACGCACUGAAUCAAAUCUCCAAUAUUGUGAAAACAACCGUUGUAGUCUAAAAGACUAAGCUAUUAGAGAACGGUGUUAAAACAUUUUUAUAUUUAACACUCUCAUCGCUCGAGACUUUUUAGUCGGCCCAUGACGUGGGCUUAAAUAAAAUGGGAGAAAAUUAAUAUGCUAGUAGUCUGGUGUGACUCGAACUCAGAACCUCUUGCUCUGAUACCAUGUGAAAACAACCGUUAUAAUCUAAAAGCUUAAUCUAUUAAAGAAUGGUGUUUAUAUAAUUUUAUAUUCAACAAGUACUAAUAACUUGUUGGCCAAAAUAUUAAGCCAAAAUACAUGCACCCAAGUUACUGAUUGUAAAGUAAUAGUUCUUAUAUAAUCAUACAUAAUUAAUUCUACAUCUGAUAUGAAAUUAUUGGGGCGUGACAAAUAUUUGUGACCACGCCUAAUUUGAGUCUAAAUUUUUAGGUUCUAAUCUAAAAUUUUAUCAUUCAAAUCUCUUAACCCUUUAAUUUCAUUCAUUAUCACUUUAUUAGAAUCUCUAAAUAUUUUUUUUGCUCUUAUCUCUUCUCCAAUUCCUCUAAUUUUUCUUUUUAAAUAGAAA
rnacentral:lncRNA from 1 species